GGAGGCGAACGGGGUCUGGUGGCCCUCCUGGUCUUCAAAACCAGCGGUACGCCAACAGCGUACGGUGGGUUCGAUUCCCAUCCGCUUCC
rnacentral:tRNA from 24 species